rnacentral:snoRNA from 1 species
CCCCCCAGCUAUGGGCAAAGGGGCACCUGAUUGGUGGUGGUGCUCUUAUAUCAGUCAGGGCCAGAGCAGACUGGCAGCCCUUUGUUCAGCCUAGCUUGAUGCCUAGAUCGUGGCCAGAGCUGUUUCAUGCCUGGGGCACAUCA